rnacentral:lncRNA from 1 species
GAAAUAAUAUCUUGAAAGCGUGGACGUUGUUGCAUGGUAGUAUCAACAGUUUCAUGGAAAGGCAAAUUACUAAUUGAUUUUUUUUUUAUUUUUUUUUUUGGUAAAUAAGAAGUUGUAUUUAAUUUAAGGGUUCAAAGUAUGCUGCAUGGGGGUAGAGUUUUGCCCAUGUUUGUUAACAUUAUAGAUUCGGAAUUGUCUUUCAAAAUAAGUUCCUAUACUAUCUGCUUCAAAAGUUUCUAAAGCAUAUAGGGGGGAACUUCAAAAAUUUGCAGGCCUGCAUUCUGCGCAUUUCUCAUCCCUUGUUUAGCAGGCAAUCUACUACUCUAUUUUGCUCUCUCCAUGUGUGGUUCAGCGUCCUGACCUGGAUGCGGGUCAUCAACAAUCUGCAUUCAUUAACGAUGUUACUAUGCUUGUUAGUGUCAGUAUUGAAUAGUGUGAUCACAUCAAGUGCAUCUGUUUCAAUUACCAAGGGCCACAGGGAGUGAUCUUUUUCAAGUUUCGAUUGCUUGAUGAAUGCUUCAACAGAAACGACAGACGUAAAAUUUCCUGAAAACAAACAAAAUGUAUGAGAAAGAAUACUAAUAAUAAUUAAGAAUACUAAUAAUUUUCUUACAGAAAGAGAUAGCAACAAUCCAAAAUAAUUAAAAAGUGAUGAAAAUUUGAGUUAUCUGUAUAAUUUUAAAGACACUCAUAUCACAGUUUUACUAUCAAAUCUACUACUUUAUUGACACAGUUUUUUGAACAUAAGAACAACAAUAGUACAUCAAGAUAACCAUAGCUUGUUUGUUAUCUUGCGAAUUUGCUUAUGUAAGACACCAUUAAAAAUCACAUCUUGCACAUACCUCUCUUUUAGUUGUGCGUUUUUUGUCGUGAGAAUUAGUUCCUCCCAUUUUUAAGUAAUGGUAGCAUAACUUCUCCUAGCGACAGAAAGGAAAACAGAGGUUUAAUAUUGAAAAAGAAUGAAUGAAGAAUGAAGCAUUGUUACGAA